rnacentral:rRNA from 1 species
UACAGAGGGUGCAAGCGUUAAUCGGAAUUACUGGGCGUAAAGCGUGCGCAGACGGUUAUUUAAGUCGGAUGUGAAAUCCCCGGGCUCAACCUGGGAAUUGCAUUCGAGACUGAAUGGCUAGGGUACGGAAGAGGGAAGCGGAAUUUCAGGUGUAGCAGUGAAAUGCGUAGAUAUCUGAAGGAACAUCAGUGGCGAAGGCGGCUUCCUGGUCCAGUACCGACGUUCAGGCACGAAAGCGUGGGGAGCAAACAGG